rnacentral:rRNA from 1 species
UGGGGAAUAUUGCACAAUGGGCGCAAGCCUGAUGCAGCCAUGCCGCGUGUGUGAAGAAGGCCUUCGGGUUGUAAAGCACUUUCAGCGAGGAGGAAGGUGGUGAACUUAAUACGUUCAUCAAUUGACGUUACUCGCAGAAGAAGCACCGGCUAACUCCGUGCCAGCAGCCGCGGUAAUACGGAGGGUGCAAGCGUUAAUCGGAAUUACUGGGCGUAAAGCGCACGCAGGCGGUUUGUUAAGUCAGAUGUGAAAUCCCCGGGCUCAACCUGGGAACUGCAUUUGAAACUGGCAAGCUAGAGUCUCGUAGAGGGGGGUAGAAUUCCAGGUGUAGCGGUGAAAUGCGUAGAGAUCUGGAGGAAUACCGGUGGCGAAGGCGGCCCCCCUGGACGAAGACUGACGCUCAGGUGCGAAAAGGCGUGGGGAGCAAAACAGGAUUAGAUACCCUGGUAGUCCACGCUGUAAACGAUGUCGAUUUUGGAGGUUGUGCCCCUUGAGGCGUGGCUUCCGGAGCUAACGCGUUAAA